CUUACCACUCUCUACAACCACCUGAAAGGAGGGUGUAGCCAGUUCAUCUCUUCAAUUCAAGAUACAAGACAGGACCACCAAUACAGAAACAGAUUUUGUUAUUCCUGGAGUAAUCAACAAUAUUGGCAUGCUAACAAUGCCUAAAAUUCUUCCUGAGUAACUGUGUGAGAACACAUCUUCACUUGUUAGUCAGCUCUCAAAGCUGCCAAGGCAUCUUGGAUACGGCUUCAAAAGCACUUAAGAAACACCAAAAAUAUCAUUGCGUGAAUGGCUUCAUAAGUGCUGAAUACUGAGUGGCUUAGAAAUAAACAUGUUCAUUGCUGAAUUCUUUAACUACUGUGA